rnacentral:misc_RNA from 1 species
AACCUAGCACACCUGCGGUGUGUACCUGCGGAGGGAUCAUAACCGAGUUUACAAACUCCCAACCCUUUGUGAACCUUACCAUAUUGUUGCUUCGGCGGGACCGCCCCGGCGCCUUCGGGCCCGGAACCAGGCGCCCGCCGGAGGCCCCAAACUCUUAUGUCUUUAGUGGUUUUCUCCUCUGAGUGACACAUAAACAAAUAAAUAAAAACUUUUAACAAUGGAUCUCAGAUCGGAAGAGCA